rnacentral:rRNA from 1 species
AACGGCCGUACCAUGCUGAAUAUACCGGUUCUCGUUAGAUCACCGAAGUUAAGCAUCAUUGGGCGCGGUCAGUACUUGGGCGGGUGACCACCUGGGAACACCGCGUGCCGUU